UACGGAGGGUGCGAGCGUUAAUCGGAAUUACUGGGCGUAAAGCGCACGCAGGCGGUUUGUUAAGCUAGAUGUGAAAGCCCCGGGCUCAACCUGGGAUGGUCAUUUAGAACUGGCAGACUAGAGUCUUGGAGAGGGGAGUGAAAUUCCAGGUGUAGCGGUGAAAUGCGUAGAUAUCUGGAGGAACAUCAGUGGCGAAGGCGACUCCCUGGCCAAAGACUGGCGCUCAUGUGCGAAAGUGUGGGUAGCGAACAGG
rnacentral:rRNA from 1 species